UGCAAUGACACGGGGUGCCCGCUCCCACGAGCCGGGCUGAGAACACACCCGUCGAACCUGAUCUAGCUAGCACUAGCGAAGGGAUGUCGGCAAUGUCGCUU
rfam:Oerskovia sp. Root918 contig_2, whole genome shotgun sequence.